rnacentral:tRNA from 1 species
GGGAUUUGCCGAACUCGACAGUACUAGGCAGAAUGACGCUUACCGGACUCUUAAUCCGGGUGUCCCGGGUUCGAGUCCCGGAUGGCUCACCA